rnacentral:rRNA from 1 species
CUGGCGGCGUGCUUACACAUGCAAGUCGAGCGGAAAGGCCCUUCGGGGUACUCGAGCGGCGAACGGGUGAGUAACACGUGUAGUAACCUGCCCCUGACUCUGGGAUAAGCCUGGGAAACCGGGUCUAAUACCGGAUAUGACACUCCUCCGCAUGGUGUGGGUGUGGAAAGUUUUUUCGGUUGGGGAUGGACUCGCGGCCUAUCAGCUUGUUGGUGGGGUGAUGGCCUACCAAGGCGACGACGGGUAGCCGGCCUGAGAGGGCGACCGGCCACACUGGGACUGAGACACGGCCCAGACUCCUACGGGAGGCAGCAGUGGGGAAUAUUGCGCAAUGGGCGGAAGCCUGACGCAGCGACGCCGCGUGGGGGAUGACGGCCUUCGGGUUGUAAACCUCUUUCAGCAGGGACGAAGUUGACGUGUACCUGUAGAAGAAGCGCCGGCUAACUACGUGCCAGCAGCCGCGGUAAUACGUAGGGCGCGAGCGUUGUCCGGAAUUAUUGGGCGUAAAGAGCUCGUAGGUGGCUUGUUGCGUCUGCCGUGAAAGCCCGUGGCUUAACUACGGGUCUGCGGUGGAUACGGGCAGGCUAGAGGCUGGUAGGGGCAAGCGGAAUUCCUGGUGUAGCGGUGAAAUGCGCAGAUAUCAGGAGGAACACCGGUGGCGAAGGCGGCUUGCUGGGCCAGUUCUGACGCUGAGGAGCGAACG